AUGAUAAGAAAGAGUGCCCCCCCUGCUGCCAAUGAAAGAGAUUCAUCUAAAGGUGAAGAUGUUCAAGAAAGGAGAGGUAAUCUUAGAGCAAGACCGCCACAACAACAUGCUGUUCAACGUGCUUCAAGAAGGCCAUUUUAUGUUGAAACUUCUGAAGGUGAAGAAUAUGAUGAAGCCCUUGAAGAAGCUGAUCUCUAUGCAUAUCGGAGAGUACCCAACCCUACAUAUGCAAGGGAUACAUACAAGGUGAAAGUUGACAUCCCAACUUUUAAUGGAAAUGUUGAUAUUGAAGGGUGCCUAGAUUGGUUAUAUGAAGUGGAGACUUUCUUUGAGGUCAUGGAGGUUCCGGAAGAUCGUAGAGUUCCUUUGGUCGCAUACAAGUUGAAAGGAGUCGGUGCAUGGUGGCAUCGUGUUCAAGAAGAGCGCAGGUUGAGAGGAGAACCUCAUGUGAGAACUUGGCGGCAAAUGAAAGAUUACACGGAGGAGUUUCUAAGGCUACAAGUGAGGUGCAACCUUGCUGAAACUGAAGAUCAACAAGUUGCAAGGUCAUCAAUGGUCUCAAUGAUGCUAUUGAAGAUCGAUUGA
rnacentral:rRNA from 1 species